AUGUACAGCAAUUUGCCCCUUAAAUGUAUAAUCAUCUCAAUUCAUCCUUCCAUCAGCACCAAGCUUCCUUAUUUAGCAUUAUACUGAAUAUUUGAGAACUAAAGUGGGGCUGAGGGUGCUUUUUCAAUUCCCCCCUCUCCCUGAAAUUUUCAUGGCAGUUCUCACCUGUUUGGAAAAGACGGGUAGAGGGAACUCCAUAUCCUUGAAGUUAAAGCAAAUCUAACCUUUUCCUCAGACUCUAUAGUCCCUUACUCCUGUCUUCCUGAACUCUUUUGUUCCAGAGGGCAA
rnacentral:lncRNA from 1 species